UACGUAAGUCGCAAGCGUUAUUCGGAAUUAUUGGGCGUAAAGCGUCCGUAGGUGUCCUAUCAAGUCUGAUGUUAAAUCUCUUCGCUCAACGGAGAGUCCGUAUCGGAAACUGCUAGGAUUGAGGUGUGCAGGGGCAGAUGGAAUUCCAGAAGUAGGGGUAAAAUCCGUAGAUCUCUGGAGGAACACCAAACGCGAAGGCAUUCUGCUGGGCACUACCUGACACUGAGGGACGAAAGCGUGGGGAGCAAAGGGG
rnacentral:misc_RNA from 1 species